rnacentral:rRNA from 1 species
GCCUACGGGGGGCAGCAGUCGAGAAUCAUUCACAAUGGGGGAAACCCUGAUGGUGCGACGCCGCGUGGGGGAAUGAAGGUCUUCGGAUUGUAAACCCCUGUCAUGUGGGAGCAAAUUAAAAAGAUAGUACCACAAGAGGAAGAGACGGCUAACUCUGUGCCAGCAGCCGCGGUAAUACAGAGGUCUCAAGCGUUGUUCGGAAUCACUGGGCGUAAAGCGUGCGUAGGCUGUGUCGUAAGUCGUGUGUGAAAGGCGCGGGCGCAACCCGCGGACGGCACAUGAGACUGCGAGACUAGAGUAAUGGG